UUUAUUUGUUAAAAAUAUAGAGAGUGGAACCUCCGGCCUUAUGUACAUGAGGCACACAUGGCCCUACCAAGCCGCACCCCAAGCCUACAGUGCCUAACGUCUACUGGGUUUGAUGCUGUGAGUAGACUGCUUGGAUCUUCAUGUUUUUAGGGAACAGAUGAAGCUACCCUGGAUUUUUAGCUCCUAACAGCAGUAACACCUGCACAGAGACCCUCCGAGUGACUUCAUUUGUGCUGCAGACUAUUUCUUCUUGAGGGUACCUACAGCAGCGUUCCUUUUGCAUGGAUGCCUCCGUGCAAAGGCACAUGAAAAGAAUUAGCUGCUGCCUGCCAAAUGGAAUUAUUGACACUGAUAAGAGGACCACGGAUGGCAUCACCUGGAAAUGGACUGUAUUCAUCACUGAAAGAACAAAAAAGAAAAACACCUGAAUGUAUAUGGGCAAACUGAGUGGCUUUCACGAAUUUUCUGUAUAAUACAUUAGCUAAAUGUUUAUAUAAA